GGAAACUGCCUGAUGGAGGGGGAUAACUGCUGGAAACGGUAGCUAAUACCGCAUAACGUCGCAAGACCAAAGAGGGGGACCUUCGGGCCUCUUGCCAUCGGAUGUGCCCAGAUGGGAUUAGCUAGUAGGUGGGGUAACGGCUCACCUAGGCGACGAUCCCUAGCUGGUCUGAGAGGAUGACCAGCCACACUGGAACUGAGACACGGUCCAG
rnacentral:rRNA from 1 species